rnacentral:tRNA from 1 species
UGGUAGCUCAGUCGGGUGAGCGCCCGCUUCUCAAUCAAGAGAUGCGGGUUCGAAUCCCGGCGUUGACAU